AAACUGUCUUUCUCCCCGGCAACGGCGCCAGAAAUGAUUGUUGAUAUUUGGUGUUGACGGUCCUUAAGUACCAAAUAUAAUCAUCAAAUAAAUAAAGAAAAGGAUCCAAAUGCAACCAACACCCAGACUUAGGGUUUUAUCUGACAGAAUUCCAUGAGUUUUGGUGUUUGUCUAUUUCUACAGGGGGUUAUCAGGAAAUACGAAAGAAAGGCCCACAUGUCGGGUUUACAUAGAGAUAUUAAUGUGCCGCGCAAUUUUCUAUCGUCUAGAAGACUCCAGAAGCCACAGGAACA
rnacentral:lncRNA from 1 species